rnacentral:rRNA from 1 species
AGAGUUUGAUCCUGGCUCAGGAUGAACGCUGGCGGCGUGCCUAAUACAUGCAAGUCGAGCGAACAGACGAGGAGCUUGCUCCUCUGACGUUAGCGGCGGACGGGUGAGUAACACGUGGAUAACCUACCUAUAAGACUGGGAUAACUUCGGGAAACCGGAGCUAAUACCGGAUAAUAUAUUGAACCGCAUGGUUCAAUAGUGAAAGACGGUUUUGCUGUCACUUAUAGAUGGAUCCGCGCCGCAUUAGCUAGUUGGUAAGGUAACGGCUUACCAAGGCAACGAUGCGUAGCCGACCUGAGAGGGUGAUCGGCCACACUGGAACUGAGACACGGUCCAGACUCCUACGGGAGGCAGCAGUAGGGAAUCUUCCGCAAUGGGCGAAAGCCUGACGGAGCAACGCCGCGUGAGUGAUGAAGGUCUUCGGAUCGUAAAACUCUGUUAUUAGGGAAGAACAAAUGUGUAAGUAACUAUGCACGUCUUGACGGUACCUAAUCAGAAAGCCACGGCUAACUACGUGCCAGCAGCCGCGGUAAUACGUAGGUCCCGAGCGUUGUCCGGAUUUAUUGGGCGUAAAGCGAGCGCAGGCGGUUUGAUAAGUCUGAAGUUAAAGGCUGUGGCUCAACCAUAGUUCGCUUUGGAAACUGUCAAACUUGAGUGCAGAAGGGGAGAGUGGAAUUCCAUGUGUAGCGGUGAAAUGCGUAGAUAUAUGGAGGAACACCGGUGGCGAAAGCGGCUCUCUGGUCUGUAACUGACGCUGAGGCUCGAAAGCGUGGGGAGCGAACAGGAUUAGAUACCCUGGUAGUCCACGCCGUAAACGAUGAGUGCUAGGUGUUGGAUCCUUUCCGGGAUUCAGUGCCGCAGCUAACGCAUUAAGCACUCCGCCUGGGGAGUACGACCGCAAGGUUGAAACUCAAAGGAAUUGACA